rnacentral:lncRNA from 1 species
AUUUCUUGUAAAAAGUAGUAUGCAUCUAUACAAAAUAAAUGCAUGUGAAAUAUAUAAUAAACAAUUUUUGAAAUCAAAAUUACCUGAAAAAAUUGAUGCCGCUCAAAUAUUUGAGAUUCUCCUAUGUAUCUGAUAUUGACGUGAAGUUUGGCCACCCCUGCUAAAGAUUAUUAAUUUUUAGAUUUAAUCAUGAUAAAACAAAGGGGACACUGUUAACUACAAAAUGGCUAAAAGUAUUUUUACUUAUAAAAAUUUUAUGCAAUUUUGGUGAUCCUUAUAUUGUAUUUUCAUGAUAGUUUAUAUAAUCAUUAUUUUAUAACCUAUUAAAAUUUUUCUUUGAUAUUGUAUUUGCAAUAAACUGCUAUAUUAAAAAUAUGAACAAGGAAAAAUUUGGUAAUUAUAUAUAUGAACAAAAUGCUAAUGGAUGUAUAUAACAAAAUUUUCCAAGAAAAAUUUAACUACAAGUUGUCUUCCUUGUGGUAUUUCUUUCCUUUCCGUUUCUGUGGUCAUUUCCUUGAGCAAAUCUUGUUGUGAAUGCAGUAUUAUUUUUGUAAUUGGAUAAAAGUGCAUUUCCAAACACCCACAUUUAAUGUGGCAAGUUUUGGUAUUUAGUUUUAAGGCUGAUAAAAAAAAAAAAAAUUAUUAUACAGGUGGCUUCCCAACUAAUAUCCAGUUUGGUUUAAAAUAUAUUUUGGAUACUAAAAUUUUUUGUUAUAUAAAUCAUUACACUACGGAAAUGUAUUAUUCUAUUAUAAUAACUACACGUCUGCCUUCAGCAGCAGGUAAUGCUUAUUAUUUUAAUAAUCCAAAUCAGAUUUAUGUAAAUUCUUAUUUUCCAGGAAUGUAAUUCAGGGAGCUACCUAUACUCUAAAAUUUAAGAGAUUUUCAUCAAAUUGGAACAAAUUUUAUAACAAAGAAAUAUUCAAUUUUUUUAAUGUGAAAAUUAACAUUCCAACUUAUAAGAACAGUAUUUUGUAUAAUUUAUAUAUAUAUAUUUUUUUAUUCAUUGUAUUACAGCCCCA